rnacentral:rRNA from 1 species
UGGAUCCAGACUUUGAUUCUGGCUCAGGAUGAACGCUAGCUACAGGCUUAACACAUGCAAGUCGAGGGGCAGCAUGGUCUUAGCUUGCUAAGGCCGAUGGCGACCGGCGCACGGGUGAGUAACACGUAUCCAACCUGCCGUCUACUCUUGGACAGCCUUCUGAAAGGAAGAUUAAUACAAGAUGGCAUCAUGAGUCCGCAUGUUCACAUGAUUAAAGGUAUUCCGGUAGACGAUGGGGAUGCGUUCCAUUAGAUAGUAGGCGGGGUAACGGCCCACCUAGUCUUCGAUGGAUAGGGGUUCUGAGAGGAAGGUCCCCCACAUUGGAACUGAGACACGGUCCAAACUCCUAGGGGAGGCAGCAGUGAGGAAUAUUGGUCAAUGGGCGAGAGCCUGAACCAGCCAAGUAGCGUGAAGGAUGACUGCCCUAUGGGUUGUAAACUUCUUUUAUAAAGGAAUAAAGUCGGGUAUGCAUACCCGUUUGCAUGUACUUUAUGAAUAAGGAUCGGCUAACUCCGUGCCAGCAGCCGCGGUAAUACGGAGGAUCCGAGCGUUAUCCGGAUUUAUUGGGUUUAAAGGGAGCGUAGAUGGAUGUUUAAGUCAGUUGUGAAAGUUUGCGGCUCAACCGUAAAAUUGCAGUUGAUACUGGAUAUCUUGAGUGCAGUUGAGGCAGGCGGAAUUCGUGGUGUAGCGGUGAAAUGCUUAGAUAUCACGAAGAACUCCGAUUGCGAAGGCAGCCUGCUAAGCUGCAACCGACAUUGAGGCUCGAAAGUGUGGGUAUCAAACAGGAUUAGAUACCCUGGUAGUCCACACGGUAAACGAUGAAUACUCGCUGUUUGCGAUAUACGGCAAGCGGCCAAGCGAAAGCGUUAAGUAUUCCACCUGGGGAGUACGCCGGCAACGGUGCAACUCAAAUGAAUUGACGGA